CAGACCCCGACCAAACGUUUAAAUUAACAUCUUUACAGAACUUCAGCAGCUGUCUGCCUAACACUUGCACAACGUUGGUGUCUAAUCACAACAUAUCCCACAGACAGCCUGAGACUGUCCUGAUGGAAACGCCGCAAGACACAAUUGAGUUGAACAGGAUCAACCUAGAAUCCUCCAAUG